CCGUGUUGUAGGCACCAUGUGGCUGGUGCUGGGGGUCUCCUGUGGCUUGCAGCUGCUGGCAGAUCCCCAACACCUGCUUCUAACGGAGUAGACAUCUUGCUUUUUGCUGAAUUGCUGCCAGGUCUGCUUGUCAGAGGUGGCUAGUCUUUGCUAUGAAGCAGGAGGCCAGGAACCAGACUGCAGAGAGGAGUGAGGUAUCCCUUGGACUCCCUUUCAAGACCGUGCAAUCCUGAUGUCAGAUAUCUACAUGGAGCAGUGCACAACAGGCAGCCAGAAGAUUUGUGCAUGGGAAGCUGGACCCAGUCCACACCCAAAGCAUCAGCAUGUUAGAUUUCCCCAUUCCAGAGGUGUUUGUAUUUAGGUCUGGGCUUUGCCUGUCACUCUGGGAGAGGCAGCAGCAGGGUCAGGGUUUGAGUCCAUCCACAUCUCCUAUUGUUACAGCUCUGCAUCCUUAUCAGGGUCCUUACCUGGGCUGCUCCUCCCACUCUGAGGCCCUUGUAAAGCUCCACCUCCAGGAAAGCCCCAGCACAAACUCCUGUUUCUGGCUAGUCCCUGCAGCAGAUACCAUGUGGCUGGUGCUGGGGGUCUCCUGUGUCUUGCAGCUGCUGGCAGGUCUGUGCACUGGGGUGACAGUGACUCAAAACAAGUUUGUCACCAUCCGGAAUGGGGCCAAUGCGAGUCUCCCCUGUGAGCACGAUGGCGAUGCCAAUUACAAUACUAUUUUGUGGUACCUACAAGAUGGAGCUUCAGGAAAGGAGCUGCAGCUUGUAGUCGGACAUACAGAUGGGGGUAAACCAGAGACAGAGGCCAAAUUCAAAGGAAAGUACAUUUUACAGCCUAAAACCAGGACAAAGGCCUCCCUGUACAUCAUCAGUGGAACAGCUGAAGUCUCUGCAGUGUAUUUCUGUGCAGCCAGUAGAGCACAGUGGGUCCUUCCUGUUUCAUAGCUGUACAAAAUCCCCAGAGCCCUGCUCAUCUCUCAGUACACACAACAGCCACAGCCAUGGUCUAAAGUGUGAUGUGAGAGGGGUACAGAUGUUCAUUAAUGUAGCCAAGACUCAUGACCCUGAGGAAGGAGCCUGAUCAGCAGCCUGGAGCCCUGGCCCUUUAUUAUCUGUUGCCCAGAGACAGGAGAGGGAGGGGAUAGGCAAGCUGUGCUGUGUAGACUCUCAUUUUGCAGAUUUGGUAGAGACCCUGUCCUUGCUCCCUGCCAGUGUCUCAGGAUACGUUUGGAAAUACAGCUCCUACUACAAUGUGCUCCUGCCUUAGGAGGAUUGCCAGGUGCAUGACAUGUCCAGUGUAGGUGGAGACAUCAAGGCAGCUUUGAUAACGAGAACAGAUUAUGCUGUUGCUGUGGCAAGGGCUUCAUGACUCACAGCCCCUGGGGCUAGAUCAGUCACCCAGCUGAUGGGUCUGGAAUGGCCUUCACAGCAUCUGGGAGGAGUCUGCAAAGGGAGAAGGACCCUGUAUGCCCACUCCUGUGCUCUCUGGGAUCAGUCCAGCUGCACAGGAUCUCACCCACCCAGAUGCCUGCAGACUCAUGGGGAGGCAGUGCAUACUCACACAUGUGUUCAGGUCUGACAUCUGUGAGCAUAUCCCAAGCAGUGUGAGAGCACUAAGCAGACCCUUAGGACAGGGGCAUUCAUUCACCCACUUCUGGGAAGGAAGAAGAUGAUCUCACCAGGGGCCCCUAGUCCCCAGAUGGGAAGUGCAGGGGUAGUGUGAGGAGCUGAAACUGUGACCCUACUCAGACCUUAUCACACCAUGAGUUAGAUCUACAGGUUGGGAGCUAAGGGGUCCUCUAGACAGAUGUCACCUGCAGGUGAAUCCCCUGUUUGGAGAGCUGCGGUUUCUGUCUUCUCUGCCAAGUCUCACAGAAAAACUCAGAUCUGUGGGAGGUGUACCAGGUGCCCAACAACUUAAGUAAAUGCAUCAGAGUGCUCCAAGAUACUGACUGCUAGAUAUGUUGCACAUCCUGAAUUUGCUGGUGUCCAGGAAAUGCCUAGAGCUCCUGCCCUGCACUGGGAAGAGGGUAGUAUGACUCCACUGUCUCAUGGAGCCCUGUUUCUUUUCCUGCUUCUGUCCUUUUGGGACCAGAGGCCUAAGCUUACAGUGGCCAAGAGCAACAAUCUGGAGCCAGGGGAGACCAGGACCAUGAGCUGUUACCAAAUACACCCAACUCACCCCUACAUGUUUUGGUUCCUGCAGCCCCAGGGACAUGGGCUGAUGCAAAUAGCUGCUGCCUAGACCAGCACAUGACCCUUUUAUGUAAAAUGCUACAAUGCCACAUUCCCCAUAACUAAGAAUGUCAGGACCAUCGUGUCUGGGAAUUCAGCUACAUAUUUCUGUGAUGCCAGUGAUCGUACAAUGGGGUGAAGGUAUGAGGGCCUGGGGCAAAAUCCUCCCUGGAUGGAAACAGAAAAUCAGAGAAACAGGACAGAAAGACCAACACACACCUGGCUGCAGAGAAACAAGCCCUUCAAACCAAUGGGCCACCUCAGCCUCACCAAUGAGAUCAAUUCCUGGGAGGUCAACAGAGGGUGUUUGGGCCUGGGUAAGGCCUUGUGGAAGCCCCUGCAGCCGCAGGGAUUCCUUGCAAUAUUUCCUGGCAGGUGCGCCACGCUGGGAGCUGUCACAGCAGGAGAAGGUUUCCUACAGGGUCCUUUCCUGCUGUGGGUUUUAUGCUCUAUAGCAGGUGAUGUGGAGCAGUGAAGUGCCUAUGACGCACAGACUCCCUGACACAUGGGUUUGGCACUUGAGAGGCAUAAGCCUGCUCUAAAGGCUUGUUUUCUGGGGACACAAGUGCCCAAACAAAUAGCCAGACAGGGUUAGGGCCCUGCACUCCACAUCUGUGUUGCAGGCAGAGGCAUCUCUGUCUGGCAGGAGCUAGGCAGAGCCCCCUCUUGUCUCCCGUUGUUCCUCUCCAGACUGGCAGCACCUUCCAUUCCCCCUCAUCCUUGCCAUCUGCCUACACACCUUCCUCCUCCUGACCCCCUGGCUGCAUAGGCAGCACUUACAUCUCCCCUGAGUCUUUCUAACAGAGAAGGGCAGGACUGACAGGGACAGCUUCCCCACCUUCUUCUUAUCACAAACCCAGGCUGUAGAGCCUGACACUUCUGGGAGGUGCUGGCAGUAUGGGAAUAGCCCCUGCCCUUGGCCCUGCAAACUCAGGACUGGAGCUGGAACUGUACUCGCUGCCCUGUUUCCUUCUCCCAACUUUGGGCUGGGGGCUAAUGGCUCCUCUGUACAGAUGUAACCUGCAGGUGAAUCCCCAUAUAGAGUAUUGCAGUUUGUCUUCACCAAGGAGUAUUGUGUCCAGUUGGGAGCUAUAGAAAGUCUGUGGACACAUUGGAGGGAUUCCAGCUGAGGGCAAUGAAAAUGGUUACGGGGCUGGGCACAUGACUUUUAAGGAGAGGAUGAGAGAACUAGGCUUAUUUAGUGUGACAAAAAGACUGAGGGGGGAUUUAAUAGCAGCCUCCAGCUACCUGAAGGGGGUCUCCAAAAAGGAUGGACUUGGACUGUUCUCAGUGGUGGCAGAUGACAGAACAAGGAGCAGUGGUCUCAAGUUGCAGCAAGAGAAGUUUAGGUUAGAUAUUAGGAAAAAAACUUUCUCACAAGGAGAGUAGCACCAGGACAGGCUGCCCAGAGAGACUGUGGAAACUUUGCCCUUGGAGGCUUUUAAAAGACAAAGCUUUGGCUCGGAUGAUAGUUGGGAAUGACCCUGCUUUGAGUGGGGGGUUGGACUACAUGACCCCCUGAGGUCCCUUCCAACCCAAAUUUUCUAUGAUUCUAUGAAGUCUCACAGACACACUCACUGCCCCUGGACCCAGUGAAUGGCACCAGGCAGGUUGCUGACACCAGCUGCUAGAUGUACUGAGCAUACUUACAAAGCUCUGCUUCAUGCAGUGAGCUUUAUUUAAACUUUCCUUCUAAGCACAGACCCUCCUUCCCAAUGUCUGCCUGUGCUGCCAGAAUCCAGGAAUGCACUACUCAGGGGUGUAGGUUGUAGCUGUGUUGGUCUAAGGACAUAGGCAGGUAAGGUUCUUUGGGUAAAUCUGAUAUCUUUAGUCUCUAAAGCAGUGACUCUCAACUAGGGUGCAGCAGCAACCUUGGUGCCAUGAGAUCCCUUUAAGGGUGCAUGGCAAUAUCAUUGCUGCCAGCUCUGCAAAGGCCUACACAUGACUAACAAGGUAAACCUAGGGACUUCAAGUAGGGCACCAUAGUGUCAAGAACACUGUAACAUGCUGGAGUUUUUCUGAGCCCUUUGCAACAAAAUAAUCACUACAUUAUUUGCCCAUAGUGAAAUGAAAAAAAAAUAGUGAAAACUAAAACCUGGUAUUUUCUGAGUGGAUGCCUUCAGGCUAAUGAGGGGAGCUUUGAGUCUAAAAAUGGCUGAGAACCUCUUAGAGCCUUGUUACACAUUGCCCUUUAAACUGCACAAAUAUUAAUCGGUGUUAGUGCUACCUUGAGUUUGGUGCAGUUGCACCUCAAAGCUAAAAACCUUCUGUGACUGUCCCCCACCUGCACAGCUGUGAUGUGCCACUAGAAGGGUGGCAAGCAGAGGCCGCACUAGGAGCAACAGCUGUGAAUUUCCAAUAUAGGGCUAGUGAGCUAGAAUAGGCUUCUAGCUCUUCUCUAAGAGGGGUGUGAGAGAAAUGGGUUGGGAGGGCAGGAACAUGUAGCAGAGAGGUGGAAAGCUACCAGGAUGGG